UACGGAGGGGGCUAGCGUUGUUCGGAAUCAUUGGGCGUAGAGGGCGCGUAGGCGGCCGAUCAAGUCGGAGGUGAAAUCCCUCGGCUCAACUGAGGAACUGCCUUCGAUACUGUUCGGCUUGAGUCCUGGAGAGGGUAGCGGAAUUCCCGGUGUAGCGGUGAAAUGCGUAGAGACCGGGAAGAACACCAGUGGCGAAGGCGGCUACCUGGACAGGUACUGACGCUGAAGCGCGAAAGCUAGGGGAGCAAACAGG
rnacentral:rRNA from 1 species